CAAUAGCGUAUAUUUAAGUUGCUGCAGUUAAAAGCUCGUAGUUGGAUUUCGGAUGGGUUUGCCGGUCCGUCGUUGCGAUGUGCACUGGCAAGUCCUAUCUUGUUGUCGGGGACUAGCUCCUGGGCUUAACUGUCCGGGACUAGGAGCUGACGAGGUUACUUUGAGUAAAUUAGAGUGUUCAAAGCAGGCCUACGCUCUGAAUACAUUAGCAUGGAAUAACACGAUAGGACUCUGGCUUAUCUUGUUGGUCUGUGAGACCAGAGUAAUGAUUAAGAGGGACAGUCGGGGACAUUCGUAUUUCAUUGUCAGAGGUGAAAUUCUUGGAUUUAUGAAAGACGAACUUCUGCGAAAGCAUUUGUCAAGGAUGUUUUCAUUAAUCAAGAACGAAAGUUGGGGCUCGAAGAUGAUCAGAUACCG
rnacentral:rRNA from 1 species